CUGCGGCUCGGCUCAGCUCAGCUCAGCUCAGCAGCAGGCAGGCCAGGCUGGGAGCGAGGACCAGAGCCAGCGCCG
rnacentral:miRNA from 10 species